AAUGGAUAGAACGAGUGGCAAAGAUACUAGUUGACGGGAAAGAAGGGUCAGCUGAUGUUUGUGUCAUUGAAUUGGGUGGAACUAUAGGGGAUAUUGAGUCCAUGCCUUUUAUUGAAGCACUGCUGGAACUGUAUUUAUGCAGUUUAAUUUGUUAAUUUCAUGGGUUUGACGAUUUUCUUUUUUUCUUUUUUUUGUUAAAAUUGAAUUUCAUACUUUUCCAUUUUAAGUGGUUUAAGUUCAUGCAAUAUCCUAAACCUUUUCCUUUGAAUUUAUCCUAAAGUGUUUGGGUCUUCAAACUAAUUCCUUUAUCAUUUACAGUGUUGCAGCAGAGCCUAAUUUGAAGGAGUCGACUGCAAGGAAAAAAAUUUAUGACAAAUGUGAUGAAACUGUUAGAAUUGCAAUGGUGGGAAAAUACACAGGCCUUUCAGAUGCAUAUCUUUCUGUUCUCAAGGAUCCUGAGGCAUAUAAAGUUGCAUGGAAUCUUUUAAAGG